rnacentral:rRNA from 1 species
UUGGAGGGCAAGUCUGGUGCCAGCAGCCGCGGUAAUUCCAGCUCCAAUAGCGUAUAUUAAAGUUGUUGCAGUUAAAAAGCUCGUAGUUGAAUUUCGAGACCGGCUUACUGGUCGUGCUAUUGUGCGUACUGGUAUAAUCGGUUUCUCCUUUCUGACGAACUAUAAUGCCAUUAAUUUGGUGUUAUAGGGAAUCAGGACUGUUACUUUGAAAAAAUUAGAGUGUUUAAAGCAGGCUCACGCUUGAAUACAUUAGCAUGGAAUAACGGAAUAGGACGUUUGAUUCUAUUUUGUUGGUUUCUAGGAUCGACGUAAUGAUUAAUAGGGAUAGUUGGG